rnacentral:lncRNA from 1 species
CCAAAAUAUUGAGUGAUUUUUUGGGGACAAUAAGAUUAUAGGUUAUUUUUUUCCUCCCUGAUUCUCUGUUUUUUCUCCUUCCUUCUUCCUUCUUCCUUAUCCCUCCUUCUUCCUUCUUCCCCUUCUCCUCCUCCGUCUCCUUCUUUGUCUUCUUCUUUAAGCAUGCUGCUUGUAUAAUAAUAAAAAAAACUAUCAGAAACCCAGAUCCAGACCGAGGAGACUCACAGUCCAGUGGGAGGUCAGCACAGGGAAGAUAGAAGCCACCUCUGAAUAUGGGGGUGUCUGAGCCCAUGUGAGCCAUGGAGGGACCCUGACACUGGACUCAGGUCCCACUGUCUCCCCACACCUGCCCUGACCACCAGCCAAAAGCCUUCCUUCUCUCGCUGUCCCUCUUCUGAACCCCACAUGCAAGGCUGGGCCCACCACUCAGAGGCAUGUGCUUGGCUUAUCCUGCCUUGUGACAUUGUCCCUAUUGUUACCCAACAAUCCUAUUUUACCUUGAGCAAGGAUGACACACACAUUUGUGACUCAUCCCAUUUGUUCUGCCCUCUCCCAGCUCUGGACUUCCGGUGGCACUGACUGUCCCUGCCCUGGCAAGUACCACAACCUUGCUCUGCAGCUAGUUUUCACAUGGGCACGUCCUAUCGCCCGUGUAGACUGUCGGCUCCAGGGAGGCUGAGAUUGCAACUUAGGUGCUUUUUGCAAGCCCCAUUCCCCACAGCUUUGCAGGAAUUGGGAUUUUACAGUAUGCCUAUAGAAGAUGGGGAACUAGGGGGCCGGCCCCGUGGCCAAGGGGUUACGUUUGUGUGCUCCGCUUCGGCGCCUCAGGGUUCACCAGUUUGGAUCCUGGGCGUGGACCUACACACUGCUCAUCAAGCCAUGCUGUGGUGGCGUCCCACAUAGAAGAGCUGGAAUGACCUACAACUAGGAUAUACAGCUCUGUACUGGGGCUUUGGGGAGAAAAAAAAAAAGAGAAAGAUUGGCAACAGAUGUUAGCCCAGGGCCAUUCUUCCCCAUCACAAUUUAAAAAAAAAAGCAGAUGGGGAUCAUAUGGUUUCUUUUCACCUUGAUGACUUUCUCCAUAGUAGAGUUACAAGCUUUUGCAGGCAAAGGCUUUUCCUUCCUUCCUUCAUUCAUUCAGCACUUAAUGACUGUCUGUGAUGUGCCAGGUGUUGAAACAGAUAUGUAGGGAAAUAAGCAGGAAAGAAGUGAUAGAAGGGCUUGGUUGGCCGAGUGUGCAGGGGAGAGAAGAGAGAGAUUGGUUGGGGCAGAAAAGUCUCUUUCGUAGGAAUAAUAGCAAGUGCUUGUUCCAGGACGGCUCUGUUCCUAGUACUUAAUGUGCUCAUUCACGUAAUCCUUGCAACAGCAACAAGGCAAGUACAAUUACUUCCAUUUUACACGGGAGGAAACUAAAGCCCUGAGAAGUUGAAUGCCCUCUGGGGUUGCUGCAGAGCUGGGAUGUGCACCCAGGCCUCUGAGCUCUAACAUCCAUGAGCUUAACUGCUGCCCCGCUGCCCCGUCCUGCCCCGAGUGGGUUCUGGAAAGGAUUGCAACAACUUCCAAAGGGGACAAGGAACCCUCGUGUUGGAGCAGGUUGGAAACCCCCGGGCUGGGCUGUCGAGGCAGUGUGUCAUUCUCCUGUGCAGAGAGGAGUCAUGAGGCCUGAGGUCAGGUUCCAGCCCCUCUCCGGGCUGGCUGGAUGAUCUUGGGGGCUGCCCCGUGUGACUUGGAGAGCUUUGGUUUCCUCAUCCGGGAACAGAGAACGUGAAAAUUAUUUGGCAGGAUUGUCAAGAAGAUUAAAUGAGAUCGUGAAAGGGCUUUCCAACUGUGAAGUGUCGCUCAAAUGUAAGGAUUGUUUCUGUCCUCUUACACACGUUGGCAGCUUCUUGAGGGCAGGUGUCUUCUGUGACCCCUCCCACCCCCACCCCCUCCGGCGCUCAACGCAGGGCUGUGGAGAUAACCUGGGAAAAACACCACAAAGUGACUCGCACAGGGGUGUAGCACGUGGGAGUUGCUUAACAAGUGGUAGCUGAUGCGUACACGCGUGCCGUUGCACAGACAGAAUAGGGGGAAGGCUCAGAGUAUGGACUCUGGUUUGAAUCCUCUCGCUGCCACUUGCUAGGUUGGCGAGUGUGGCCCUGGGCGAGGUUAGCGCUAAUCUACCCUCGUGUCCUCAUCCAUCACACAUGGCUGAUGAGAAUAAUGGCUAGUUCAUGGGGGUGGUUGUGAGAACCCGAGGAGUUCAGUCUAUGGAACACGACCAGGCACAGAUCGAGCCCUCAGUAGGCAUCAGCUAUUGUUACUAUUUGACUGUUGUACACUGAGCGACUCUUCAGGAGGUGAUCUGAGAAGAUCGCUAGACUGGAGAGUGGGACACGUAACUCCUGGACUUUGCUCAGAGUCGGCAAGGCCUUCAAAGCCAGUUAGAUGUCACACCAGCCUCUUGGGGUCAGCGCAAGUCAUGUAACUGUGAGUAGGCUUGGGCGUCAUCUCCCCCCGUGUGGGCUAGACCCCUGGACCAGGCAUUGUUGGAUAAAAAGUGUGUGUAUUUAACGUUUGGAUAAAUAUCACAAUGGUCCAUCAGGCGGACGUUUCUGUUUGUGCUCCCUUCCAUCAGAACAGGAGGGCCUGUUUCCAUAUACCCCAACCCACCCACAUUUUUAAGUUUAAAUUUUAUUAAUUUUUUGACUAGAUAAUAUUUGCACAUGGCACAGAAUUCAAAAAUCCACCAAGGGGCAAACAGUGAGAAGUCCCGUCACCCCUGACCCAGCCAUCCAGUCCUCUCCCCAGAAACCCCAACUUUGAUCUCAGCCUGUCUGUAAAUGGACAAGGGUAUCUGACUGAAUAAAUCUCGCUAUUAUUUUUAGGUGAAAACAAGCCAGAAUAUAUUUUGGAGUAGAGUGUUGCAUUUCAAUGAACUUUAAGAUAAAACAGGAGACUUCAAAGACAUUUUAUGCUCAAGGGUGGGGCAGGGCUGGGAGCUGCUUCUGGCUCUGCCUCCUACCUUCUCUUGGGGGAAAAUUUGGUACAGUUCUGAGUUCGUCUAUAAAGUGCAAGCUCGCAGAUGCCCCUGGCCCUCUCGAUUACAUUGAGGUUCUCCUCAUCACCCUGGUCACUUGUAUACAAUCCAUCCCUUGUGCCUCUUCCUGCCCUUGACUUGGCCGCCGCCUUGCUGCCUGACCUUGAGGCGGUUGCCUCCAUUCUGGGCUCAGUUUUUCUCACUUGUAAAAAGAGAGCUUGGACUAGGCCCAUUCCAGGUGUAACAUUCCAGGGCUGGUCAACUAAUUCACAUUAAGGUGUGGAUGACUGAUAACGGCUUAAUGCAUUACCUCUCCUGUGGGUGGGAACAUUUUAAGAGAUGCAAUUUCUCCUCCCAAAAGAGUGAACAUGCAUAGUGCAAUUUCAGGCAUGGUCACAGUGGGUGGGAAUGAUGUGAGGGGAGGGGGCGCCUUUCCUGGGAUUGCUCCAGUGGGCACUGGGGUGGAGGGUGCUGUUCCAGCCAGAGGCGGUGUCAGCCCUGAGGGCACGUGCCUAUUGGUUUCCCUCCAGAACUCACACCACGCUCAUUUCUCUCUGGCGGAGGCCAAGAGCAGGGUUUUGUUAUACUGAAAAAUGCCUCAUCAGGGAAACCCAUGUGUGUGGCCUGGAAAACUAUCCUGUCUCCUGGGGCGAGGGGAGCGGUGGGAGUGUUUGAGCAGCUUGACUUCCAGGUUCGCAGGUCAGUUCUCAUCCUGGCCAAGUGAGGAGACCUCCGCCCGAGGGCCAUCAGCUCUCUGCCAGAGCAGGUGGUCCCGCCACACCUGGAUCCAAGACAUCUGCUUUUUACCCAGGGAGAAAGGCUGUGCCAAAUGCUGUCUGGUUUCAUUUUCUGUAGGAGGUUUGAUUUGGCUUCUGAAUUUUCAGGGAGGGUGUGAGAGAGGGGGUGGCCCGCAGCCACCGUUAGCCCACAGAAGGAAGAAAAGCAUUUCUCUGGCUGAUGAAUUCUAGGCCCGCUGGCCUUGUACAGUGCACAGUGCUGUUGCCCAGCGCAUCUUCCUCUCCAGCCCCCUUUGGGGCACCAUUUUGUCCCACCCGCUGUCUGGGCACCCCUUCAGUGGAGGCAGCUGGGGUAGUCAGUCUAUUCUCCAGGCAAAACUGUGGUAGAUGAGAAUGGAAACCAGGGGCAAUGGUCAGUGGUUCACACUCUGUUGGCCAUGCUGAGAGCUCAGAUAAGACCAGGGAUGGACCCACCUUGUCAGAAUCUCCACCAUCACCUCCCCUGCUCUCCUCUGGAGCAGGCAGCUUCUCAGAACCUGCUGACGCCAAACCCGUGAGCCUCAUCAUGGAGUUCACAGAGCUCUAGACGCUCCCUAAUCAAAGUGUAGUGACCUGGGAGCUGGUUAGAAAUGCAGAAUCUUGGGACCCACUCUAGGCUACCGAGUCAGAUUCUGAAUUUUUACAAGAUACCAGGUUGAUCUGUAUGCACAUUGAUGUUUGGGAAACGUGGGCCUAGAUGCUGAAUGCCUUUGGGAAGUAGGAAGGAAGGAAAUAGAAGCUCCCCGGGGGGAGGGGGGGCGGCUCCUCUGAGGGGAAGACAUGCCCACAGGCCUGUUCAGUGGAGGGAGGUGGACGCUGAGGAAAAGGCUAAGGAAGGCCCUCUAGGACAGCAUGCUGAAAUAGGCGCCUUUAAUGAUUUUAGUUUUAUUUUAAUUUCAUUUUUAAUAGGUAAUUCACUUUCACAUUAAAAUUCUAAGGGUACAGAAGGGUCUGUCAGACAUAGUUUCUUUCCCACACCUAUCUCCCAGCCACUUCCCCUCAAAGGCAACCUCUGUUACUAGGCCGGAGAUAAGACAUGUUGUGCAGAUAAAAGUGUGUGUGUGUGUGUUCUUCCUCACCGGACCCCUUCUAAAAGAUCCCUAUGGUAGCCCACCACACAUAGUAUCUGGACCUUGCUUUUUUAACUUAAUAUAUCUUGGAGAUCGUUCUAUAUUAAUAUGUAAAGAUAAUCCUAGAUUGUAUUUCAGCUGCAUAUUAUUCCACUCUAAGAACGGACCUCAAUUUAUAAUGCCAGGCCCCCACUGAUGGACUUUUAGGGGUUUUUUGUGUGUUUUUUUGAAUAUUUGGUUUUCUUUUUUUUUUUCCUGAAGAUUGGCACCUGGGCUAACAGCUGUUGUCAAUCUUCCUUUUUUUUAAGGAUUGGCACCUGGGCUAACAACUGUUGCCAAUCUUUUUUUUUUUCUGCUUUAUUUCCCAAACCCCUCAGGUACAUAGUUGAAUAUCUUAGUUGCAGGUCCUUCCAGUUGUGGGAUGUGGGACACCGCCUCAACGUGGCCUGAUGAGUGGUGCCAUGUCCGUGCCCAGGAUCCGAACCCUGGGCCACUGCAGUGGAGCGCACGAACUUAACCACUCGGCCAUGGAGCCGGCCCCAGGUGUUUUUUUUUUUUUUGAAUGCAGCUUAAUCUUUAAUCUUAGAAUCUUCAAAACUGGAAGGUCAUUUAAUCCAAACUCCCACCCAGCAUAGGAAUUCUUUCGUAGUAUCCCGCUCACUUCUGUGACCCAGGUCAGUGUUGUCUGCCCUGGGGAGCUCCUCCUCCCUCUCCCGCCGUCACUUUGCCAGAGCCCUAAUCGUAUGACACUAUUUAGGCAAAGGCGUGAUAACGUUUGCUUGUGUCUCCUCUCGCCCCAUCCCAUCACAGUGCAUAGUGGGUGCUGAACCGAUCCGAAUGGGGUUGAAUUGACCAUCCCCGAGUGGGGAGUCCUCCAAAUUCUGCUCUUUGAACACUUCUAAUGACAGAGAUCUCGCCUCCUCCAAAGCCCAUUCUGCCUUUGAAAGGCUGUAUCAGAAAGUCCUUUGAUAAAUCAAAAUCUUUUUCUCAGUAGCUUUUCCUUCUGGCUCUAGUGCAUUUCUAAAACAACACAGAAAUUUAAUCUCUCUUCCAGAUAUUUAAGAUGACCAUCUUUCUCCAAACCAAAUACCUCCCAGUUCCCUGUGAAUGCUGGUGCUAGGUUCUUCUCCUUCCAGCAUUUUCUUCCAUACACUUUUUGGUUUGUAAUAUGACACUUUAAAAAGUGAUCUGACCACUACACACUUAUUAGAACGGCUAAAAUUUAAAAGACUGACCAUACCAAGUACUGACGAGGAUGCGGAGCAACUGAAAGUCUUCCACUGCUGGUGGGAAUGUAAAGGGCUACAGACACUUUGGAAUGGCGUCGAUAGUUUCUUAAAAAGUUAAACACACAUCUUUCACAUGACCUAACCGUUCAACUCCAAGAUAUUUACCGAAGAUAAUUGAAAGCAUAUAUCCAUUCCAAGGCAAAUGUCCAUAGCAGCUUUAUUGUAACAGCCAAGAUCUGAAAACAACCCAAAUGUCCAUCAACAGAGAAUGGAUAAACACACUGUGGUAUAUCCAUACAAUCGAAUACUACUCAGCAAAAACGAAAACCUAUCGAUAGGCUUGACAACAUUGAUGAAUCUCAACGUAAUUAUACCGAGUAAAAGAGGCCAGAUGAAAAAUAAUGAGUCAGUGCUGGACGAUUUCAUUUAUAUAAAAUUCUAAAAAAUGCAAACUAAUCAACAGUGACAGAAAGCACCUUUGUGGUUUCUUGGGGAGGUGGAGGUGGGGAGGAGUGGGAGGAACGAUUAUGAAGGAUGCGAGGAAACUUUGGGGUGAUGGUUAUGUUCACUUGAUACUGGUGAUGGUUUCACAGGUUUAUAUAUGUGUCAAAACUUAUCAAAUUGUACACGGGUGCUUGAGGGUAUUAUGCUAAGUGAAAUAAGCCAGACAGAGAAAGACAAACACUGCGUGAUUUCACUCGUAUGUGGAACACAAACACAUGGAUAAAGAGAACAGAUUAGUGGUUACCAAGGGGAAGGGGGUAUAGGGGUGGGUGAAAGGAGUAAAGGGGCACAUUUAUAUGGUGACAGACAAAAAUUAGGCUAUUGGUGGUGAGCACAAUGCAGUCUAUACAGAAAUUAAUAAAUAAUAAUGUACACCUGAAAUUACACAAUGUUAUAAACCAUUAUGAUCCCAAUAAAAUAAUUGAAAAUUACUUAAUUAAAAUCCCACAGGGUCAGCCUGGUGGCACAGCGGUUAAGUUUGCACUCUCUACUUUGGCGGUCCGGGGUUCACUGGUUCGGAUCCCAGGUUUGCCAGUUUGGAUCCCAGGUGUGGGCAUGGCACUGCUUGGCAUGCCAUGCUGUGGUAGGCAUCGCACAUAUGAAGUAGAGGAAGAUGAGCAUGGAUGUUAGCUCAGGACCAGUCUUCCUCAGCAAAAAGAGGAGAAUUGGAGGCAGAUGUUAGCUCAGGGCUCAUCUUCCUAAAAAAAGAGAAAAAUUCCACAGAUAAAUUGCAGGCCCAACCCAAUAGCCUCUCCCUGCCUCUGAAACAUCGAAAUAACCUAUUAAUUAAAUAAAAAUAUGAACUUCAAAAAAACCCAAAAAACUUACCAAAUUGUAUACUUUAAAUAUGUGUAGUUUAUUGUCUGUCAGUGAUACCUCAAGAAAGCUGUUAAAAAAAAGCCUAGUGUCUGGAACUGGUCAUAUUGUCUUAAUGUCACUGACUGGUGUGGUGCACAGUAGACAGCGAGCUCCUUUGAUUUGGUUGCUAUACUCCUGUUGAUGGAACCAAAGUUUUUAUGUGCUUUUUCAGGAGGUAUAUCACUGUCGUUUCAGUUCAGCAAAAAUCAGAAGACCUUGAUGUCAUGAGUACUGACAAGCCAGGUCUCCUCCAACUUUAAUGUGAAUUGUGUCAAGGUCAUUUACCCCUUCGAUGUUCGUUUUUUUGGCUGGGAAAGAUUAGCCCUAAGCUAUCAUCUGUUGCCAGCCUUCCUCUCUCUCUCUCCUUUUUUCUUUUUCCUCCCCAAAGCCCCAGUACAUAGUUGUAUCUUCUAGUUGUAGGUCCUUUUAGUUCUGUGUGAGCCGCCACCACAGCAUGGCUACUGACAGACGAGCAUUGUGGUUCCACACCCAGGAAGUGAACCCAGGUGGCUGAAGCAGUGAGCGCUGAACUUUAACCACUAUGCCAUUAGGCAGCUCUCGAUGUUCUUUUUGAUGAUAGAAGAGAGUGAGAGAUGGCAUAGUACUGUGGAAAGAGUGUGAAUUUGGGGUCAGAUUCCUUUGACUGGAAGCUCAGGGUGGAUAAGUUACUGAGUUUCUCUGAGUCUUUCUUCCUCAUCUGUCAAGUGGGUCAGUAUUUCUGAUCUCAUAGAGGCAUGACAAUUAAAUGAUACCUAAAGGAAAUAAACUUAGUACAGUGCUUGGUCUAUCGAGGCAUCGAAUGAAGAGAAGCUAGUUUUAUAGCCCUAUCACUCCUGCCUGUCACAGUAGUUACAAAUCUUUGUUCUGUGUAUGCCAGAACUCUAAUCUUAUAACAUCUCUAUAUUUGAUUAGCAGACCUACACACCUCUAUUGGAAUUUCUAAUAUAAACAUUGAAAUGAGCCAGGUCCAAACCAGCCCCGUGGCACACCGCCAUUGCGUUUCCUCCAGAUUGAUCUGUGCUCCUUGGGUUGGAAGCAAUGAGUUUAGCCCUACAUUUUUCUUUCUUUCUUUCUUUUUUCAUUUGAGUUCAUAAUAGUUUACAUCAUUGUGAAAUUUCAGUUGUACAUUAUCUCUUGUCUGUCACCACGUAGGUGCUCCCCUUCACCCCCUGUGCCCACCCCCGACCCCCCUUCCCCUGGUAAUCACUGAACUGUUUUCUUUGUGCAUGUGCUUGUUUAUAUUCCACAAAUGAGUGAAAUCAUCUGAUGUUUGUCUUUCUCAGUCUGGCUUAUUUCCCUUAGCAUAAUUCCCUCCAGGUCUUUCCAGGUUCUUGCAAAUGGGAUGAAUUUGUCUUUUUUGGGGCCUGAGUAGUAUUCCAUUGUAUAUAUAUGCCAUAUCUUCUUUAUCCAAUCUUUGGUUGGUGGACACUUGGAUUGCUUCCAUGUCUUGGCUAUUGUGAAUAGCGCUGCAAUGAACAUAGGGGUGCAUAUGUUGCUUUGGAUUGUUGAUUUCCAGUUGUUUGGGUAGAUACCCAGUAGUGGGAUAGCUGGGUCAUAUGGUAGUUCUAUUUUUAGUUUUUUGAGGAAUCUCCAUACUGUUUUCCAUAGUGGUUGCACCAGUUUGCAUUCCCACCAGCAGUGUAUGAGGGUUCCCUUCUCUCCUCACGCUCUCCAACAUUUGUUAUUUCUAGUCUUAGUGAUAAUAGCAUUUUAACAGGUGUAAGAUGAUAUCUUAGUGUAGUUUUGAUCUGCAUUUCCCUGAUGAUUAGUGAUAUUGAACAUCUUUUCAUGUGUUUAUUGGCCAUCUGUAUAUCUUCUUUUGAAAAAUGUUCAUAUCCUCUGCCCAUUUUUUGAUUGGGCUGUUUGUUUUUUGUUGUUCAGCUGUGUGAGUUCCUUAUAUAUUAUGGAGGGUAACCCCUUAUCAGAUAUAUGAUUUGCAAAAGUUUUCUCCCAAUUAGUCAGUUGUCUUUUUUUUUUUCUUUUUAAAGAUUAGCACCUGUGCUAACAUCUAUUGCCAAUCUUUUUUUUCUUUUUCUUCUCCCCAAAGCCCCUUGGUACAUAGUCGUACAUUCUAGUUGUGAGUGCCUCUCGUUGUGCCAUGUGGGAUGCCACCUCAGCAUGACCUGAUGGGUGGCACCAUGUCCGCGCCCAGGAUCCAAAGUGGCGAAACCUUGGAUUGCCAAAGUGGAGCGAGCGAACUUAACCGCUCCGCCACAGGGCCGGCCCCCUGUCUUUUGGUUUUGAUUCUAGUUUCUUUUGCCUUGCAGAAGCUCUUUAGUCUGAUGAACUCCCACUAGUUUAUUUUUUCUUUUGUUUCCCUUGUCUGAGAAGACAUGGUAUUCGAAAAGAUCCUUUUAAGUUCAAUGUCCAAGAGUAUACUACCUAUAUUAUCUUCCAGGAGUUUUAUGGUUUCAGGACUUAUCUUCAAGUCUUUGAUCCAUUUUGAGUUAAUUUUUGUGUACGGCAUGAGAUAACGGUCUAUUUCAUUCUGUUGCAUGUGGCUGUCCAGUUUUCCCAGCACCACUUAUUCAAGAGACCACCUUUUCUCCACUGUGUGUUCUUGGCACCUUGGUCGCAGAUUAGCUCCCCGAAUGUGUGCAGUUUUAUUUCUGCAGCCCUACAUUUUUAAGUGUGACGGCUAAUAUGCUGGCUGAUGGUGAAGCUGUCAGGAACGUGGGAUAAGAGUAAAAGUAGAGCAGCGGCUCCGGAACAAUUAGACAGAGUUAUCAUAUGAUCCAACAAUCCUGCUUCUGAGUACACACCUAAAAGAAUGGAAAGCAGGGAAUCAAACAUUUGUACAUCAUAGCAAUGUUAUUCGCAAUAGCCACAGGUGGGAACAGCCCAAGUGUCUACUGACAGAUGAACAGAUAAAGAAAAUGUGGUAUAUACAUACAACGGGGUGUUAUUCAGCCUGAAAAAUGAAGUUCUGACAUGUGCUACAACAUGGAUGAAACUUGAAGAUAUUAUGCUAAGUGCCAUAAGCCGGACACAAAAGGACAAAUAUUGUAUGAUUCCACUUAGAUGAAGUACCUAGAGUAGUCAAAGUCAUAGGGACAGAAAAUAAAACGGUUGGUGGAAGGGGCUGGGGAGAGCGGGGAAUAAGAAGUUAGUGUUGAAUGGGUACAGAAUUUCAGUUUGAGAAGAUGAAAAAGUUCUGGAGACGGAUGGUGGUGAUGGUUGCAUGACAAUGUGAAUGUGCUUGAUGACACUGAACAGUACAUAUGAAAAUGGUUAAAAUGGUAAAUUUCAUGUUACUUAUAUUUUACCACAGUUAACAAAAAAAAAUGGAGCAGCAGGCUAUUCAGCAGUGGGGAGGGCCUGGCCUGUGGGCCGGAUGGACAGCCAAGUCAGGAUGAGCUGGAGAGCAGGUUGGCCUGGUCAGAACCGGGAGGAGACUGGAGAGGCGGCUCAGCAUGCCCUGGAAGAAGGCUAGCCUGUGGGAUGCUGUUUCAGCCCCAGUGCAUGGUUGUAUAUCCCAGUUGUAAGUGGUUCUGGUUCUUCUAUGUGAGCCACCGCCACAGCAUGGCAGCUGACAGAUGGGCCACGGAAGUGGUGAGUGCUGAACUUUAACCACUAAGCCAUCAGGGCUGGCUCUAAAUUUAAAUAUUUUAGAAAUAAAAAAUUCAGUCCCUAAGUCACACUUAGCCGCACAUGACGUGUUCAAUAGCCAGGUGUAGCUAGUGGCUGCCACAUUGCACAACACAGAUAUAGACCAUUUCCAUCAGGACAGACACUUCCAUUGGACAGUGUGCUCUAGAAAGAUGAGGAAAAAGCCCAAGUAGGUCGGUUUGUUUGUUUUUACCCUGACUUGUUUCUAAAAGGAUCUGAGGUAGCUGAGGACAGCCCAAGGCCAUCAGACCAGUGCCCCCUGGCUGGAGGUGGGAAGGUUGGUGCCUGGGCUGAGCCGGUCACUAGGAGGGAAGCGAGGCCCCUAGAGGGCGGAGCUCCAGGGCCAAGGUAAGAAGUGGGAGGGAAAGUGGAGGUGGGGACGUUGUGGGAGCGACUGUCAAAGGACAAGGUGGUGAGCCAUCAGAUGUUGAACAAUGAGAGACCUACGGGAAUGAAGCUCUUCGUUCCUCUUAGCAAUAUACGGUUAUCUGACCUGUUAAUCAAGGAGUCCCCUGUGCCCUUCUGUUCUCAGAUACAAAUUCCAAAUUCCAGCUAAUCAGAUGCAAUUAAAGGAUGUUGUUGGCUGGGUGCAAGUUCUGACUUGCAACACCAGGGUAGGCUGCCAGGCUUGGAACCGUGCUCACCACCUGGCUGUUAGGUUUUGAGCAGCCAUGCCAGAGGCAGCAGAAUGGGGAAACAUCCUUCCCCAUGGGUGAUGUGAGUAGAAAGGCUCUCGCUGAAGGGAGCCAGGCCCUGCGUGCUUUCGUGCAGUACUUUCAAAGCCAAGAUACACUCUAGAGGUGGGCUUUUUUUUUUUCUUCUGAGGAAGAUUAGCCCUGAGCUAAGAUCUGUGCCAAUCUUCCUCUAUUUCAUAUGUGGGUCACCAGCACAGCAUGGCUGACGAGUGGUGUUGGUCUGCACCCGGGAUCUGAACUCGUGAAUCUGGCCUGCUGAAGCAGAGCGUGCCAAACUUAACCACUAUGCCAUGGGUCCGGCCCUUAGGGAUGGUCUCUUUUUGAGGGCAAAUCAGAGUUUUAAAAACGUUCACUCAAUUUGACAUUUGUGUUAAACUCAUUGGCUUGUGGGAUUAAAGGCAAGCCAAACAUAUAUUAAGAUGAUCUUAAUUUAAGCUUUGUUGGGAAGUUAAAGACAUCACAGAGUGGGAUGGGGUGCCAAGGGGAGCAGCUUCUUGUUGCUUAAUUUGAGAUAAUGUAUUCCCAUAAAUUUUAUUUUUACGUUUAUUUUGAGGUAUAACAGACACAGCAAAGUGAUCUUUACUAAUCUUUAAUGUACAGCCUGGUGGAUUUUUACAUAUGUAUGUACCUGUGUGACCUCCACCCAGAUCAGGAUACAGAACAUUUCCAGCGCCCUGGAAGGUUCCUCCUCUCUCCCUCCUGUUCAAUUCUCCUCCCCAGACGUAAUUGCUGUUCUGAUUUCUACCACUGUCAAUUAGCUUUGCCUGCUCUCGAACUUCAUAUAAAGAGGAUUGUAGCUUCUAUCUGCUCUGUGUCUGACUCCUUUUAUUCGUAAGCUUGUGAACUUUUUUAGGAGAAAUUUUAUAAAAGACCCACAGUCCUUUACCUAAAACCAUUGGGGCCAGAUAGGUUUCAGAAUUUUCAUCGUUGAGAAGGGUGCGACGAGCGAGGAGUUCACUUACACUCAGUGUUAUAAAAUGCCCCCAGCAGGGCCGGGGCAGCACCUGGUAAACAAUAAACAUUUCUGAGCAAAGUCUACGAAUAUAUGAAGUGCUGUAAAUA